rnacentral:rRNA from 1 species
UACGGGGGGGGCAAGCGUUGUUCGGAAUUACUGGGCGUAAAGGGCUCGUAGGUGGCCAACUAAGUCAGACGUGAAAUCCCUCGGCUUAACCGGGGAACUGCGUCUGAUACUGGAUGGCUUGAGUUUGGGAGAGGGAUGCGGAAUUCCAGGUGUAGCGGUGAAAUGCGUAGAUAUCUGGAGGAACACCGGUGGCGAAGGCGGCAUCCUGGACCAAUGCUGACACUGAGGAGCGAAAGCCAGGGGAGCAAACGGG